GCCAGGCAUUGUGGCGGGCGCCUGUGGUCCCAGCUACUUGGGAGGCGGAGGCAAGAGACUCGCUUGAGCCCAGGAGUUGGAGGUUGCUGUGAGCUGUAAUGCCACGGCACUCUACCCAGGGGGACAGCUUGAGGCUCUGUCUCAAAAAAAAAAAAAAAAACAAAAAAAAACUGAGUCUCAAGCUGUUGCCCUGGGUAGAGUGCUGUGGCAUUUGAGCUCACAGCAACCUCCAACUCUUGGACUCAAGCAAUCCUCUUGCC
rnacentral:sRNA from 1 species